UACGUAGGGGGCAAGCGUUGUCCGGAAUUAUUGGGCGUAAAGCGCGCGCAGGCGGCAUUGUAAGUCUGUCGUUUAAGUUCGGGGCUCAACCCCGUAUCGCGAUGGAAACUGCAAGGCUUGAGUGCAGAAGAGGAAAGUGGAAUUCCACGUGUAGCGGUGAAAUGCGUAGAGAUGUGGAGGACACCAGUGGCGAAGGCGACUUCUGGGCUGAGUAACUGACGCUGGAGGCGCGAAAGCGUGGGGAGCAAACAGG
rnacentral:rRNA from 1 species